GUCGUCAGCUCGUGCCGUGAGGUGUUGGGUUAAGUCCCGCAACGAGCGCAACCCCUGUGGUUAGUUACCAGCACGUAAUGGUGGGGACUCUAGCCAGACUGCCUACGCAAGUAGUGAGGAAGGUGGGGACGACGUCAAGUCAUCAUGGCCCUUACGUCCAGGGCUGCACACGUGCUACAAUGGAUGGUACAAUGGGUAGCCACCACGCGAGUGGGAGCAAAUCUAUAAAACCAUUCUCAGUUCGGAUCGGAGUCUGCAACUCGACUCCGUGAAGUUGGAAUCGCUAGUAAUCGCGUAUCAGCAACGACGCGGUGAAUACGUUCCCGGGCCUUGUACACACCGCCC
rnacentral:rRNA from 1 species